UACGGGGGGGAGCAAGCGUUGUUCGGAUUUACUGGGCGUAAAGGGCGGGUAGGCGGCCACCGCAAGUCAGUUGUGAAAUCUCUGGGCUUAACCCAGAAAGGUCAACUGAUACUGCGGGGCUAGAGUGCAGAAGGGGCAACUGGAAUUCUCGGUGUAGCGGUGAAAUGCGUAGAUAUCGAGAGGAACACCUGCGGCGAAGGCGGGUUGCUGGGCCGACACUGACGCUGAUGCGCGAAAGCCAGGGGAGCGAACGGG
rnacentral:rRNA from 1 species